CCUGAUGCAACGACGCCGCCUGAGGGAUGACGGCCUUCUGGUUGUAAACCUCUUUCAGUAGGGAAGAAGCGUAAGUGACGGUACCUGCAGAAGAAGCGCCGGCUAACUACGUGCCAGCAGCCGCGGUAAUACGUAGGGCGCAAGCGUUAUCCGGAAUUAUUGGGCGUAAAGAGCUCGUAGGCGGUUUGUCGCGUCUGCCGUGAAAGUCCGGGGCUCAACUCCGGAUCUGCGGUGGGUACGGGCAGACUAGAGUGAUGUAGGGGAGACUGGAAUUCCUGGUGUAGCGGUGAAAUGCUCAGAUAUCAGGAGGAACACCGAUGGCGAAGGCAGGACUCUGGGCA
rnacentral:rRNA from 1 species